AAACUGACAAGGAUUCCCCUAGUAGCGGCGAGCGAAGCGGGAAGAGCUCAAAUUUAUAAUCUGGCGCUUUCAGCGUCCGAGUUGUAAUCUCUAGAAGUGUUUUCCGCGUUGGACCGCACACAAGUCUGUUGGAAUACAGCGGCACAGUGGUGAGACCCCCGUAUACGGUGCGGAUGCCCAAUGCUUUGUGAUACACUUUCGAAGAGUCGAGUUGUUUGGGAAUGCAGCUCAAAUUGGGUGGUAAAUUCCAUCUAAAGCUAAAUAUUGGCGAGAGACCGAUAGCGAACAAGUACCGUGAGGGAAAGAUGAAAAGCACUUUGGAAAGAGAGUUAACAGUACGUGAAAUUGUUGGAAGGGAAACGCUUGAAGUCAGACUUGCUAUUCGGGUUUACUCGAGUUGCAGGCCAGCAUCAGUUUUCUGGGGGUGGAAAAUCACGGUUUGAAGGUAGCAACUUCGGUUGUGUUAUAGCUUUCCGUUGGAUACAUCCUGGGGGACUGAGGAUCGCAGUGUGCUUUUAGCAGGAGCUUCGGCUUCAUCACACUUAGGAUGCUGGUGUAAUGGCUUUAAACGAC
rnacentral:rRNA from 1 species